UACGAAGGGUGCAAGCGUUACUCGGAAUUACUGGGCGUAAAGGGCGCGUAGGCGGAUAGUUUAGUCAGAGGUAAAAGCCCAGGGCUCAACCUUGGAACUGCCUUUGAUACUGGCUAUCUUGAGUUCGGGAGAGGUGAGUGGAAUGCCGAGUGUAGAGGUGAAAUUCGUAGAUAUUCGGCGGAACACCAGUGGCGAAGCGACUCACUGGCCCGAUAC
rnacentral:rRNA from 1 species